rnacentral:rRNA from 1 species
CAUGCUGGAGGUAUCAGAAGUGCGAAUGCUGACAUAAGUAACGAUAAAGCGGGUGAAAAGCCCGCUCGCCGGAAGACCAAGGGUUCCUGUCCAACGUUAAUCGGGGCAGGGUGAGUCGACCCCUAAGGCGAGGCCGAAAGGCGUAGUCGAUGGGAAACAGGUUAAUAUUCCUGUACUUGGUGUUACUGCGAAGGGGGGACGGAGAAGGCUAUGUUGGCCGGGCGACGGUUGUCCCGGUUUAAGCGUGUAGGCUGGUUUUCCAGGCAAAUCCGGAAAAUCAAGGCUGAGGCGUGAUGACGAGGCACUACGGUGCUGAAGCAACAAAUGCCCUGCUUCCAGGAAAAGCCUCUAAGCAUCAGGUAACAUCAAAUCGUACCCCAAACCGACACAGGUGGUCAGGUAGAGAAUACCAAGGCGCUUGAGAGAACUCGGGUGAAGGAACUAGGCAAAAUGGUGCCGUAACUUCGGGAGAAGGCACGCUGAUAUGUAGGUGAAGUCCCUCG